rnacentral:rRNA from 1 species
GUCCACACCGUAAACGUUGGGCGCUACGUGUGGGGUCCAUUCCACGGAUUCCGUGCCGCAGCUAACGCAUUAAGCGCCCGCCUGGGGAGUACGGCCGCAAGGCUAAACUCAAGGAAUUGACGGGGCCCGCACAAGCGGCGGAGCAUGCGGAUUAAUUCGAUGCAACGCGAAGAACCUUACCUGGGUUUGACAUACACCCUGCCGCUCCAGAGAUGGGCUUCUUUGGGGUGUACAGGUGGUGCAUGGCUGUCGU